GCAGCUGCCCGCUGGCCGGGGCGGGGCGGCCUGGCAACGGCGCCCACCGCACAAUGAGGGGCGGGGCGACACCUGGCACCUUUGUCCGGGAGGAGGGAGCGCGGCCCUCGCCCCACCCGAACCGCCCCCAGCCCGCCCGGCUCCCGCCCGCCCGCCGAGAGGAGGGCAAGGGGCAGCGCCGGGGGGCGGGGCGCGGCUGGGACCGGCGCUGUCCAGCAGGGACCGGCCCCAGUGCCACCGCACAGCACCCAGGGCCACGCCCAGCGCGGCAGGCGGAGGGCAGGAGACUCGCUGCUCCCCCCCGCCUCAGAGAGGGGACAGAGGGCAACACACUCCCCCUCAUCCUGCAGGAGACUAAGCCCAGACUGGCUUCCCUUAAAAUCCAGCCGGGGGAAGGAAGGAUUGUCCUCCUCCUCCCCCUGUAAAUGAGACGUGGCAGGGGGACAAACUCUAGCAACAAGGGGAGACGUUAGAGGUGAUCAACAGGUUUUUUGUUUUUUAAAUGAAACAAGUCACAGUGGAAGAGGGGGUACAGAACGGGACAGUCACACCUAAAUAUCCCACCCUCUCUGUUUACUCUUGACUAUUUGUUUUCACUGGAGGUGGGGGAAGAGUACUCCAUCGGAGCAAGAGGUGCAGGCAGAGUCGACGGGGGAGCGCCAGCAGUCGACUUACUGCAGUGAAGACACCGCGGUCACAUGCCAUGGGGUACAUAGUACAGAUGAGGGAUACAGCUAAAUCAAGUCAGUUGACAUGGGUUGGACUUCCCAUCCAUACUGAGAAGAAAGCCAACUAGAGCCACUUGUCCCCUCACCACCCAGAAUUGAGUCUAGACCAUGAGCAAGACCUGCCAUCAGUUGUUGAACGCACUUCAAACAGCUUCUGAAGGUAUGUCAUGUGUGGACACGAAGCAAGUUUCAACCAGAAGGAUACCUGGGACCAAACUCGAACUAACCUUCAACACCAAUUACCAUGGAAGGCAGUAAGAGCUUACUUUUUGUAGGCUAGGUCUACACUUGCCAUGACAUGUAGAGUACAGGCACUAUAGGUGUAGCUACACACUGCAGUGAAAGGCUCCAGCAGUGCGGAAAGGCUGUGUUGGGGUGAGGCAGCUGGACACUACACUGCUAAAAAUAGCAACGUAGAUGUGGAAGGCACUGCUUGGGCAUGUAGAUAGGCGAGGUGGGGUUCAUGUGUGUAGGGCAUGCUACUUUACUCACCUAAGCCACGCCUCACUGUCUACUCGGUUAUUUACACCCAGGCUAGCUGGAAGUGCAGUGUCUGUAUUCUACACAUCGGCGUAAGCGUAGACAUACCCAUAAUUUCACCCUGAUGGAAACCGGCAAAAAGAGCAAGAACAUUAAACAUUGGAAAUGAGGACUCCAGCUCAUGUAAUACUAAAGUACUGCAAAUAAAAUAAUGCAUCAGUGGUGCUUU